rnacentral:rRNA from 1 species
UCGCUACUACCGAUUGAAUGAUUUAGUGAGUUGCACGGACUAGCGCACUUGGUUGGGUUUCCUUCCUUGUGUGCCGGGAAGUGUUGCAAACUUGACCAUUUAGAGGAAGUAA